UACGGAGGGUGCGAGCGUUAUCCGGAAUUACUGGGUUUAAAGGGUGCGUAGGCGGCGCAGUAAGUCAGGAGUGAAAGUUUGCGGCUCAACCGUAAAAUUGCUUUUGAUACUGCUGUGCUAGAAUUAGGAUGAGGUCAGCGGAAUGUGGCAUGUAACGGUGAAAUGCAUAGAUAUGCCAUAGAACACCAAUUGCGAAGGCAGCUGGCUAGACCUAUAUUGACGCUGAGGCACGAAAGCGUGGGGAGCGAACAGG
rnacentral:rRNA from 1 species